UCGAACAUUCUAAUGACUUAUGCAUUCGAAGAAAUCUCGAUCCUAUCAAUUUUCAAACCUACAUCCUUAUUUAUCAACAUGAAUUGCAGUUUAAUAUAAAAGUAUAUUUCCAUACCUAUUGAGGAAGUAAAAUUAAGUGGUGAAAGUCAAUGCUGGUAAACAAUGACUGAAAUGCAGAUUCAUGGUGACAAAUCGAUUUUGGGACCAUCUGCAAAGUAUGAUUCAAGAAAAUUCGGUUGCAUUGUAAAUUCAAAAUAAAUUUUGUAAUGAUUUUUAAGUAAUAAAAUUGGGCAGAUAGUGGGUGAUUCCACGAUUUCGGAUUGUUCGUGGGAGCAUUAAAUUAAUAUGCAUCUACUAGAUAAAAAAUUUUUGUAAGUAAGUAUAUCUAUAUCUGGAUUUUUUUCUGCGUACUAAAUGUAAAUUCGUUAAAAUAAUUUUGUUUUUAUUCAUAAAAAAACAUUGUUAAAUUAUAAUUUUCAGCUGUCCCUUCACCGUGGAAUCACCCUACAACGUUAUUGAAACACGUGAACAAAUCUAUUAAAAUAAGACUUGAAAUAAAAAUGUGAAUAUUAAAGGAAUGACUAAGUAGUACAAAGUAAGAUGAGAAUUAAUAAGAAACAGAUAACUGAUGUUGCAUUUUGUAUAUAUUGUGUAAAUUUUUUCUAUAAUAAUUAAUCGUAAGGAUCGCCGCCGCCAUACUUAUUAGGUUUUCAACGUAUCGUUACAUUUUGUUUUGCUGAGCAAAAACUCCACAACUUAAAAACUUGAAAUUACAAAUAUGUGUAGAAAAGUGAGCAGGAAUUGCAAUUGGUUAAAAAAUUAACAUUCGAUGAUUUGUUCGAGAAUUACUAAUUGUUAAACUUGUUGGAAGAAAUACCAUACAGGCCGUAGGAAUGCAACUACAGAGUUGAAAGCAUGCGAGAAGAGCCAUAUUUGCUUAUGAACUUAACAGAGUUUUUUUUUUAUUUCGAAAUUCCAAUUUGUUUGAAAGUUAAUGAAAUUUUAAGCUCUCUAUUGUGAUUAUUUUCUCACUUUUCGUACAAUUUGCUUUGCUGAGCAAAAACUCCACAACUUAGCAGCUUGAAAUUGCAAAUAUGUGUAGAAAAGUUGCCAGGAAUUGCAAUAGGUUAAAAAAUUAACAUUCGAUGAUUUGUUCGAGAAUUACUAAUUGUUAAACUUGUUGGAAGAAAUACCAUACAGGCCGUAGGAAUGCAACUACAGAGUUGAAAGCAUGCGAGAAGAGCCAUAUUUGCUUAUGAACUUAACAGAGUUUUUUUUUUAUUUCGAAAUUCCAAUUUGUUUGAAAGUUAAUGAAAUUUUAAGCUCUCUAUUGUGAUUAUUUUCUCACUUUUCGUACAAUUUGCUUUGCUGAGCAAAAACUCCACAACUUAGCAGCUUGAAAUUGCAAAUAUGUGUAGAAAAGUUGCCAGGAAUUGCAAUAGGUUAAAAAAUUAACAUUCGAUGAUUUGUUCGAGAAUUACUAAUUGUUAAACUUGUUGGAAGAAAUACCAUACAGGCCGUAGGAAUGCAACUACAGAGUUGAAAGCAUGCGAGAAGAGCCAUAUUUGCUUAUGAACUUAACAGAGUUUUUUUUUUAUUUCGAAAUUCCAAUUUGUUUGAAAGUUAAUGAAAUUUUAAGCUCUC
rnacentral:lncRNA from 1 species